UACGGAGGGUGCAAACGUUGCUCGGAAUUAUUGGGCGUAAAGCGCACGUAGGCGGCCGAAUAAGUCGGGUGUGAAAGCCCUGGGCUCAACCCAGGAAGUGCACUCGAAACUGCUCGGCUUGAGUAUGGAAGAGGGUUGCGGAAUUCCCGGUGUAGAGGUGAAAUUCGUAGAUAUCAGGAGGAACACCAAUGGCGAAGGCAGCUCGCUGGGACGGUACUGACGCUGAGGCGCGAAAGCGUGGGGAGCAAACAGG
rnacentral:rRNA from 1 species